rnacentral:rRNA from 1 species
GGNGGGGGGGGCGGCGGUUGGUCGAGCAGGCAGAGCGCGCCCUGGGCU